rnacentral:rRNA from 1 species
UACGGGAGGCAGCAGUGGGGAAUAUUGCACAAUGGGCGCAAGCCUGAUGCAGCCAUGCCGCGUGUAUGAAGAAGGCCUUCGGGUUGUAAAGUACUUUCAGUCGUGAGGAAGGUGUUAAGGUUAAUAACCUUAGCAGUUGACGUUAGCGACAGAAGAAGCACCGGCUAACUCCGUGCCAGCAGCCGCGGUAAUACGGAGGGUGCGAGCGUUAAUCGGAAUUACUGGGCGUAAAGGGCACGCAGGCGGUUAAUUAAGUUGGAUGUGAAAUCCCCGGGCUUAACCUGGGAAUGGCAUUCAAGACUGGUUAGCUAGAGUCUUGUAGAGGGGGUAGAAUUCCAUGUGUAGCGGUGAAAUGCGUAGAGAUGUGGAGGAAUACCGGUGGCGAAGGCGGCCCCUGGACAAAGACUGACGCUCAUGUGCGAAAGCGUGGGGAGCAAACAGGGAUUAGAUACC